UUCUUACCCUCUUCUCUGCAACUCCGUCUCCUCCACCACCAACUCCACUGCCUCCGCCUCAACCACCACCACACCCCUUCUACGAGCCAUCAUGGCUCUUCUUAACCAAAACCCAUCAUUCCCUUACCUCUCUAGACAUCUGUUCUAGCAAUUUCAAUCCUUUUAUUCACUGAAACCCUAGGUUUGAAAUUGGUAGAAUAGGUGAAGUUGGAGAAGCUAUAUUAGAGCAGCAAUUGGACGAAGAGAGGAAGUAGCAGCAUGGGUCGAAGAAAUUGAGUGAUUAUCAGAGAAGUAGGGUGGACCGCGUUGGAAUUUUCAUUUUGAGAUUCAUGUUUCCAUUAGUAAGUUGUGUAUGGUUUUCACGGGAACCUAAAUGAGGAUAAGCAGAAACACUAUUAUAAUCUUGCCAGUCCACAUGAACAUUUCUUUUAUCCAGAAUAGUAAACCUUGGCUCUGAACGAAUAUGCCAAUGGUCAUGGGGAAGCUCUUGGUGCUACUGUUGAAAGAGUGGCUCCCUAUCAAUCACACAUGAAGACCUCUACGUCAAUAUUGCAAGGAGAAAACUAGAGGAAGCAAAAAGAUUUGGCAUCAAAACAGGAAGAACUUAAUCAAAGGCCAUUAGAAUGAAUGUAAACCGGGUUUCUUUGCUGAUGAAUUUGAGAACCUUGCUACCUUUCGACCUCACUAUUAAGGAACUGGGCCAGAGUCCGGGAACAAACAAGUGGUGGCAAAUUGGAUUCCCUUAUGGAAGCUGCAGGUACUGGUGGCACAGUUGCUGGUGUUUCCCUGUUUCUUGGGAUGUAGUGCUCCAUUUAUUUGAAAAGGCGGCAAGUUAUCGGACAUGCGGGUUAAGUUUAUCUUUUUCUUUCAUCUUAACAAGAAAACGAUCCACAUAUUAGGAGCUUAGAAACUUUCUUUAUUAGGAGCUUUCAAACUCUCUUGAUUCAUGUCUAAUGAAUUGUCACCGGUCUGGAUUAAAACAAAUACCUCGAGCAUGGUACGAAAGACUUACCACUUCACUUCUUCGAAAACGAUUCCCACAAAAUGGAGCAGAUAAAAAUAUAUUUACCAAAUGGAGUGGGAAAGAUGUCUUUAUUGCUCAAAUCUAUAUGGAUGACAUAAUCUAUGGAUGUACUUCCGAGAAACUUGCUAAAUAAUUUGAAAGCUCUCUUGAC